rnacentral:rRNA from 1 species
GAUGAACGCUGGCGGCGUGCCUAAUACAUGCAAGUCGAGCGGACGGACUAGAAGCUUGCUGCUCGGAUGUUAGCGGCGGACGGGUGAGUAACACAUGCAUCACCUACCUAUAGGACUGGGAUAACUUCGGGAAACCGUAGCUAAUUCCGGAUAAUAUUGUGAACCGCAAGUUUCAAAAGUGCAAGCCGGUCUUGCUGGCCCUUAUAGAGGGUACCGCGCUGCAUUAGCUAGUGCUGAAGGUAACGGAUUACUAAGGCAACGAUGAGUAGCCGACCUGAGAGGGUGAUGGGCCACCCUGGACCUGAGACGAGGCCCAGACCACUACGGGAGGGAGCAGAAGGGAAUCUUCCGCAAUGGGAGAAAGGCUGACGGAAACAAGCCGCGUGAGGGAUGAAGGUCUUCGGCUAGUAAAACUCUGUUAUUAGGGAAGAACAUAUGUGUAAGUAACUGUGCACAUCUUGACGGUACCUAAUCAGAAAGCCACGGCUAACUACGUG